rnacentral:misc_RNA from 1 species
AAGUCGUAACAAGGUUUCCGUAGGUGAACCUGCGGAAGGAUCAUUACCGAGUUAGGGUCUCCUCCGCGAGGCCCGACCUCCCAACCCCGUGUCUAACAAACCUGUUUGUGUUGCUUCGGCGGAACGGCAGUCAUUCCCUCUGGGAACGACCGUCGCCGGGGGGAUUCACGGUCUCACGACCGUCCCUGGAGAGCGUCCGCCGAUGGCCCCAACCAAAUAAACUACCAAAACCAAAUUAUGGGACUAAAAUUUUCUGAAUCAGACUUUUGAUAUACCAAUCAAAAACAAAACUUUCAACAACGGAUCUCUUGGUUCUG